rnacentral:lncRNA from 1 species
CAUUACCUAUUACCCAGGAAAGUAUACAAAGAUGAGAGGCUAGUGUUAGUCAUCAUGUACAAAUGUAACAGUGUCUGAAAUUACCAGAAACUACAUAUGAAAAUGACCAUUUUUCAUAUGUAUUUUGUUCACCAAUUUUUUUCCCCUAGUUUGAAAGGCUCUAGCUAACACCCUAACAGGCAAGAUAUUAUUAACUAGUAUUAUUUAUUUUCUCUUAAAACAAAAAAAGUUAUAUGAUAACUUUCAAGAUUAUAACUGUAGGCUAAGGCUUAUCAUGUCCCAGGGAUGUGAAACAAGCUAAGCCAUGCUAAAAACAGUGGAAU